AUUAAAAAAAACCAAAUCUAGACCACUAGUCAAGAAAAACGAGUAGACUAGAGUGUAAGAGGUAGAGAGAGAGAGAGAGCGCUCCUCUUCCUUUCUCUUUUUUCCCUUUUGCUUUUCAGCUCUGGGAAGACGCCCUCUCCCUUUCUCUCCUGUCCUACUAAAACAUCAAAAUAUCCAACGGCAAAAAGAAAGGGAAACGUAAAAAAUGGCUGAAGACUUGAAGAGAAACGACGCUUUAGCUCUCUCCUUGAAGCAAUCUUCCGAUGAUCGGAAGCUUUCGUUGGCGGCAUCAGCCAGCAAGAGGGUCAUCAUCAAGUGCUC
rnacentral:lncRNA from 1 species